AUUGAACGCUGGCGGCAUGCUUUACACAUGCAAGUCGAACGGUAACAGGGUGCUUGCACCGCUGACGAGUGGCGAACGGGUGAGUAAUGCGUCGGAACGUGCCGAGUAGUGGGGGAUAACGCAGCGAAAGUUGUGCUGAUACCGCAUACGUACUGAGGUAGAAAGUGGGGGACCUUCGGGCCUCACGCUAUUCGAGCGGCCGACGUCGGAUUAGCUAGUAGGGGAGGUAAAGGCUCACCUAGGCGACGAUCAGUAGCGGGUCUGAGAGGAUGAUCCGCCAAACUGGGACUGAGACACGGCCCAGACUCCUACGGGAGGCGGCAGUGGGGAAUUUUGGACAAUGGGCGAAAGCCUGAACCAGCCAUGCCGCGUGUCUGAAGAAGGCCUUCGGGUUGUAAAGGACUUUUGUCAGGGAGGAAAUCCCUAGUGCUAAUAACACUGGGGGAUGACAGUACCUGAAGAAUAAGCACCGGCUAACUACGUGCCAGCAGCCGCCGUAA
rnacentral:rRNA from 1 species